UAGGUGGCGAGCGUUAUCCGGAUUUAUUGGGCGUAAAGCGUGCGCAGACGGCUUGUUAAGUCUAAAAUUAAAGCCCGGAGCUUAACUCCGGUUCGUUUUAGAAACUAGCAGGCUUGAGUGUAGUAGAGGCAAAUGGAAUUUCUAGUGUAGCGGUAAAAUGCGUAGAUAUUAGAAGGAACACCAGUGGCGAAGGCGAUUUGCUGGGCUAUUACUGACGUUCAUGCACGAAAGCGUGGGGAGCAAA
rnacentral:rRNA from 1 species